UACGUAGGGUGCGAGCGUUAAUCGGAAUCACUGGGCGUAAAGCGCGUGUAGGCUGCUGCGCAAGUCGGAUGUGAAAUCCCACGGCUCAACCAUGGAAGUGCAUUCGAAACUGCGUAGCUAGAGUUUUGGAGAGGAAGGCGGAAUACUCGGUGUAGAGGUGAAAUUCGUAGAUAUCGAGUGGAACACCGGUGGCGAAGGCGGCCUUCUGGACAAUGACUGACGCUGAAACGCGAAAGCGUGGGGAGCAAACAGG
rnacentral:rRNA from 1 species